CCCUUCCUUGAAAGGCCCCUCUUUGCUGGGAUGCUGAACUGAACUCGUAGAAGGAAGGGGCUGCAGGAAGAGGGAGCUGAGGGGACUGUAUUAGAAUUGGGGAAUAUUGGGGUGAUGCCAAGCUAGUCUGGGGCACCUCCUAAGAGCUCCCAGCACUUUGACCACCCCACCACCUUUCUGUCAAUGGCCACAGGGACUCUCAUUUCUUUAUAUCCCCCAGACAAAUUGUCUCUCCUACCUGCGAACUGUACCUCAAACUCCCCACUCCCAUUGCUGGCCCCGCAUUUGCCACCCACUCAGCUCUAUUUCUCUGAUUUGCUUUCACUCCAGUCUGGCCGCUGGAAUGUUGUUCCUAUUUGUUCUUCCUGUUUAGGACUCCUGCCGUCUGUCAAGUCCCCAGACUGGUUCUGCCUCCUCCAGGAAGCCUUCCCUGAUUGCCCGAACCCACAUUUUAUUCAUUUCAAACGGGCAGAUCCGGCCCGCGGGCCAUAGUUUGCCCACGGCUGGCCUAGAAGGUUGGUGACUCCUUGGAGGCCAGAGAUCCACAUAUGGUGAAUGUGAGUACUUUUUAGAUGUUUGGAGUACUCAACCCUCUGGCCAGUAAGUACACCCCCAUAAAGCAGUGCCCUCACUGAUGGUCAGUGUCCCCAUGAGCCUCCUGAAUAGUCACUACCCUCUAGGGAUUAUCUGUGUAGUGGGGGUGCUUUGUGGAUGGUCCAAGGGGCAGUAUAGUCAGACACCCCUAUAGAGAGGCACAGAGGGCCCCCAGAAUACCCUCCCCACCCACUCACCUCCCCAUCCCCAUCUGGACCCAACUUUGAAUGCACCCCUGGCUCAUUUGCUCCUGAUGGUCUCUUUCCCUGCUUGCACCUCAGUUCUCCCCAGGCCCUGUGCUCUGGGUGGACAGAGGGGAGGGCACCAACCAUGGUCGGCAAAUCACGGGGCUGUGGUUGGGAACUGGGGGUGGUUCUCUAGAGUGCCCUGCCAGGGCACUAGUCCUUUCUCCCUCCCAGCAGCCCUCACCAGAAGGCAUGGCUGUGUUGGCACCACACUGAUGGUGGAGAGUGAAGAGACGCAGGGAGAUGGGAGGAAGGGAAUUCAUUAAUGGUGAGGAGGGGUGUUUAUAGGGGAAGGCAAGACAGUGGACUUAGGAGCAAGCUUCCUAACGGGAAAUUGCAAUCUGCCAUUAACAUCUAGGUGUAAAUUAAUAUAUCAGAUGGUGUGUGUGUGUGUGUGUGUGUGUGUGUGUGUGUGUGAUGGAGGGUCAGUAGGUCAGAGUCUCAGGCCCCCGUCCAGAGGAAGCAGGACCCUGGCUCACUUGGUCUGCCCAUGCCGAAGGGUGGGAGUGUGAGCGAGGGUGGCUCAUUCUCCAGCUGCUGUUCUCCCAUCUACAGAGGAGUGGGGGCUGGGGGAGGCUCGGGCUCCCAGCCCAGGGAGCACAUGUGCUGGGUGGGGGUAGAGAGGGGGAGGACAGAGAUGCCAAAGCUGGUAAAGGCCUGGCCUCUUCCCAUCUCAGACACCCUCGAGGCACUGUCCUCUCUACAUCCAGAGCUUGGCUGCAGCGGGGUAGAUGAAAAGGAGGAGAAACUGUUGGAUAAAAAGAAAUUUGAAAAAAAAAAAGUAAGUGAAAUAUUCAAACUGGAAAGUGAUAUUAUAGAAACUGCAGCCCACGGCUCAGUGCAUUCAAAUUUAUUCAAACUCGGCGCCUGACAGUGAUGGAUGCGGCAGCUUUUCCCACAAUAUGGAGAAGGCGCGGGGGCAUUUAGGACUGCGGGUCCCCUCCGGGAGGGUGGGGGCCCACACCACCUCCCAUGCCUUGCUCCUCCUAAACUGGAAGCAUAGUUCUGGGUCCUGCUCCCUCUACUCUCCCAAGACCCAGCCACUUCCUGUAGGCCACAGUUCUGGGGUCCUGGGGGAUUGGGUCCCACCAGCUCAGAUGCUUAGGGGAUGGCCCAAGACAGAGGUAGCAGGCUGUGAGCCAGCGUGAUCACCAACGCCAUGGAAGAGGGUGGCUAACCUGUCCACGGAGGUUAGAGGAAGAACACCGUGGUGUGGUUCAAAGCCAAAUAAAUAGUGUGAACCCAAUGUGCCCCCAAGCACGCUGGGGCCUCAGGGUGCCAAGUCAGGGAACAGUCGGUCUCCUCCCCGGCCAGGGUGGCAGCCACCCCACCCAGGAGAGGGACAGAAGAGAGCCUGUGAGGAAGCCUUGAGUCUGGGGGCUUGGCCCGAGCAGUGAGUAGGUGACAGUGUUCCUGAACGUGUGCCCUGGAGUGUCCCCUGCUCCCAGCCUCCACUCCACCAGCUCUUUUCCAGACAAGGUUGCCCAUGGCCUCCUGUCCAACCUCCUGGCCAAUAGACCCCCCGUCUGAGUCCAGGCUCCAUCCCUUGGAAUACUGGCCACUCUGGAAAACUCACUGGUCUCUUGUCUCUCUUGCCCGUUGCACUCGCCUGCUUUGCCCACAUCUCUAACGUUCCUUUGUCUCUUUCACGUCCUACCACUUCCCGAGAUGUGGCUGCGGUGCAAAACCCAAGCUUCAGCUGGGCCCUCUUCUCUCCUACCGCUUCUCAGAAGACUCAUCCGCUCGGCACCUCAGCUAACACCUUCCUGCAGGUGAUGGGACCCCUGGCCUCGGAUUCCAAGCCUCUGUUCAGAUCCAAGUCCACAAUCCACACACCACAAGGCUAAUAUGUUGAAAAGCAAACUCAUCUGUCUCUCUUAACGCCAGAAACAAUAUGUGAUUCCCUAUUUUGUAAAGAGCCCCAUCACCCACCCACAUACCCUCAUAAAAACUUUGAACCUCUAGCUCUUCACCCAGCCCAUCUCUACCUUCAAUCAGCUUACAAAUUCAGAGAUACUUCCUAUGUCUUUUGCCCCCACUUUUCCCUCAUCAUCACCACUCACCCAGGAAUGCCCUUAUCACAGCUUUCCUGGAUCCCUUCAAUCCAAUCAACAAACCAUUACUGAGUGACCACCAUACACCGGUCUCCAGGCAAAGCAUCUUCCUCCAAGCGGGGCUCUCGGCCUUUAAGUUCUACAUCUCCAAUUGUUCUAUGGCUGCUGCCAGGUUGAUGCUCCUAAAACACAGCUCUAAUCAUGUCACUCGGCUGCUCAGACACCCUCAAUGGCUCCCCACUGCCUACUAAAUAAAGUACAAACUCCUUA